AUUGAACGCUGGCGGCAGGCCUAACCCAUGCAAGUCGAACGAGUGGCGGACGGGUGAGUAAUGUCUGGGCAACUGCCUGAUGGAGGGGGAUAACUACUGGAAACGGUAGCUAAUACCGCAUACCAUCGGAUGUGCCCAGAUGUGAUUAGCUAGUAGGUGGGGUAAAGGCUCACCUAGGCGACGAUCCCUAGCUGGUCUGAGAGGAUGACCAGCCACACUGGAACUACGACACGGUCCAGACUCCUACGGGAGGCAGCAGUGGGGAAUAUUGCACAAUGAGCGCAAGCCUGAUACAGCCAUGCCGCGUGUAUGAAGAAGGCCUUCGGGUUGUAAAGUACUUUCAGCGGGGGGGCGUUACCCGCAGAAGAAGCACCGGCUAACUCCGUGCCAGCAGCCGCGGUAAUUC
rnacentral:rRNA from 1 species